AUUAACGCUAGCGGCAGGCAUAAUACAUGCAAGUUGAACGGCAGCACAGGUAGUAAUACUGGGUGGCGAGUGGCGCACGGGUGCGUAACACGUAUGCAACCUACCCUAUACAGGCGAAUAACCUUUAGAAAUGAGGGCUAAUACGCCGUAGUAUUACAGAUGGGCAUCUAUUUGUAAUUAAAGAUUUAUCGGUAUAGGAUGGGCAUGCGUCCCAUUAGUUAGUUGGUAAGGUAACGGCUUACCAAGACGAUGAUGGGUAGGGG
rnacentral:rRNA from 1 species